rnacentral:rRNA from 1 species
AGUGAACGCUGGCGGUAGGCCUAACACAUGCAAGUCGAACGGCAGCACAGUAAGAGCUUGCUCUUACGGGUGGCGAGUGGCGGACGGGUGAGGAAUACAUCGGAAUCUACUUUUUCGUGGGGGAUAACGUAGGGAAACUUACGCUAAUACCGCAUACGACCUACGGGUGAAAGCAGGGGAUCUUCGGACCUUGCGCGAUUGAAUGAGCCGAUGUCGGAUUAGCUAGUUGGCGGGGUAAAGGCCCACCAAGGCGACGAUCCGUAGCUGGUCUGAGAGGAUGAUCGGCCACACUGGAACUGAGACACGGUCCAGACUCCUACGGGAGGCAGCAGUGGGGAAUAUUGGACAAUGGGCGCAAGCCUGACCCAGCAACACCGCGUGGGUGAAGAAGGCCUUCGGGUUGUAAAGCCCUUUUGUUGGGAAAGAACAGCAGCAGAAGAAUCCCCCGCUGUUCUGACGGUACCCAAAGAAUAAGCACCGGCUAACUUCGUG